AGUAUGAUUUCUAGUAGAUUUCUUGUACACAGUACAAACAAAGAAAAAAAAAAGCAUCAAAGUAAAACCAAUACAUCCGUCAUUUAACUCAAAUUUUUUUUUUUGAUUUUGAAUGGAAUUAACUUCUUAUACAAUAAAAAUUAUGAAAUACAUACAGUUUUAAUCAUGUUUGUUAUAAUCAAAUGCGUACUAUACCACAGUACUACAAUUUAGCCAACAUUGUAGUUUAGAAAAAUACUAUCCUGAAUCGUGGUAUCUGUACAUAGAGCCAGUAUAUUGUAUCAAAUUGAUUAGUUGCAUAGAUAAAUAAGCAAAAUAUAA